AUGGACAGGACAGCAAAUGUGGUUUUGGAUAUCGAGGGUCUGCCUCAACAACCUGAUAAAUGCUGCACUGGAAGUCCAAAGAUGACUAGAGCCCUGUCACGUAAGGGUCCAAACCGUGUGGAGAGGAGGGGCGGUGAAGAGCAGGAGCCAGAUGACUUGGGGAAAAAAGUUAUCAUUAAAGUUGUGCCAUCUCAGUUGGAGCAGAUCAAGUUGCCGCUAGUGCACAACAAAACUUUGGUCACUGCACAUUGCACUGCCACCGCACCUGUUCUGACUGACUCUGUUGAAGGAAGGACCAAGAGAUUUAAUCGACUCACGGCGUUUCAUCCGCGGAGAAUUCUUCUCUUCUUUGCAACUUUGUCAAGCGUCGGGACGAUGGUACUGAUAUACUUCACACUCGGCAUCAGCGGCAAGGUGGAAGCCUAG
rnacentral:rRNA from 1 species